rnacentral:rRNA from 1 species
GACGAACGCUGGCGGCGUGCUUAACACAUGCAAGUCGAACGGAAAGGCCCUGCUUGCAGGGUACUCGAGUGGCGAACGGGUGAGUAACACGUGGGUGGACUGCCCUGCACUUCGGGUUAAGCAUGGGAAACUGGGUCUAAUACCGGAUAGGGGUCAUUUUGAGUGAGAUGGGUGGAAAGUUUUUUCGGUGGGGGAUGAGCUCGCGGCUUAUCAGCUUGUUGGUGUGGUAAUGGCCUACCAAGGCGGCGACGGGUAGCCGGCCUGAGAGGGUGGACGGCCACAUUGAGACUGAGAUACGGCCCAGACUCCUACGGGAGGCAGCAGUGGGGAAUAUUGCACAAUGGGCGCAAGCCUGAUGCAGCGACGCCGCGUGGGGGAUGACGGCCUUCGGGUUGUAAACGCCUUUCGCUAGGGACGAAGCAUUUUGUGACGGUACCUAGAUAAGAAGCACCGGCUAACUACGUG